rnacentral:rRNA from 1 species
AACGAACGCUGGCGGCAUGCCUAACACAUGCAAGUCGAACGAGACGGUCGGGUCUAGGGGCGCACGGGGGCGUAAGGCGGGGGAAGCAGCACUUAGGUUCGGAAUAACUCCCCGUAGGGGGUGCUAAUACCGGUGAAGGUCUUCGCGCCAAAGAGUUAUCGCCUUUGGGUGGGCGUGGGUUGGUUUCGGUGGUUGGUAGUGUAAAAGCCUGCCAAGGCGAGGAUGCAUGGCUGGUCUGUGAGGAUGCUCAGCCACGCUGGGACUGCGACACGGCCCAGACUCCUACGGAGCGCAGCAGUGGGGUAUAUUGGACGAUGGGCGAAGGCGUAGUCCAGCAGCGCCGCGUGAGUGAUGAAGCCCUUAGGGUUGUAAUGCUCUUUUUCCCGAGACGAUAAUGACAGUACUGGGUGAAUAAGCACCGGCUAACUCCGUG